rnacentral:snoRNA from 1 species
UGCACAAAUGAUAAUGACCUUUGGACAUCUGAGUGAAGAAAGUUGAAUAUAAUAUGUCUAUACAUGUACAC